rnacentral:misc_RNA from 1 species
CAUCUGGGAUUGGGUUGACCAGGUUUAGAAUCCUUUUAAGUUCUUUAAAAAUUGGUAAAUAACCAAUAGAAAUUUGAACUUUCUGCCAUGUGAAGCUAACCAAAAAUCUUUACUGCUAUGGUUUUACAUUACAUCAACUUAACCAACAUCAUGUAACAAUCUUUGCAAUUAUAACUAAUCAAUUCUGUGAUGCACAGCCUAAUUUGAAAGUUUAGGACCAAGGCUGGGA